UUUGUGGCCCCGGGGGAUAGCAUAUCAAUAAGCGGAGGAAAAGAAACCAACAGGGAUUGCCCCAGUAACGGCGAGUGAAGCGGCAACAGCUCAAAUUUGAAAUCUGGUCCCCAGGGCCCGAGUUGUAAUUUGCAGAGGAUGCUUUUGGUGAGGUGCCUUCCGAGUUCCCUGGAACGGGACGCCAUAGAGGGUGAGAGCCCCGUCUGGUUGGAUACCGAGCCUCUGUAAAGCUCCUUCGACGAGUCGAGUAGUUUGGGAAUGCUGCUCUAAAUGGGAGGUAUAUGUCUUCUAAAGCUAAAUAUUGGCCAGAGACCGAUAGCGCACAAGUAGAGUGAUCGAAAGAUGAAAAGCACUUUGAAAAGAGGGUUAAAUAGUACGUGAAAUUGUUGAAAGGGAAGCACUUAUGACCAGACUUGGCCCCGGUGAAUCAUCCAGCGGUUCCCGUUGGUGCACUUUGCCGGGGUUCAGGCCAGCAUCAGUUCGCUCCGGGGGAUAAAGGCUUUGGGAAUGUGGCUCCCUCGGGAGUGUUAUAGCCCAUUGCGCAAUACCCUGUGGCGGGCUGAGGUUCGCGCUUUAUGCAAGGAUGCUGGCAUAAUGGUCAUCAGUGACCCGUCUUGAAACACGGACCAAGGAGUCGUCUUCGUAUGCGAGUGUUCGGGUGUUAAACCCCUACGCGUAAUGAAAGUGAACGCAGGUGAGAGCCCUCCAGGGCGCAUCAUCGACCGAUCCUGAUGUUCUCGGAUGGAUUUGAGUAAGAGCAUACGGGGCCGGACCCGAAAGAAGGUGAACUAUGCCUGUAUAGGGUGAAGCCAGAGGAAACUCUGGUGGAGGCUCGCAGCGGUUCUGACGUGCAAUCGAUCGUCAAAUAUGGGCAUGGGGGCGAAGACUAAUCGACCUCUAGUAGCUGGUUCCGCCGAUCCCCCCUCCGAGAGUAUAAA
rnacentral:rRNA from 1 species